GAACCUGCAGCACCGACUGCCGCAACCCCCAACGGUUGCGGGGGCUCUCCCAAAAAACUGCCGUGUUGCCGGUUUCAAGUAAUACCUCACAAAAGUUUUCCAGGAGUACAUAUGUGGGAACGAACGCGUAGCUGGAAAGGAAAAUCAAACAUCAGGAGAUCAUCAGAGAGACGAAGCCCCACAGCGACGUUUUGGGCAACGGAAACAUACGGAUUGUCGCCAUCUCAGAUCUCAGACCGCUGCAAGAAUCCUCCAGGUCUGCCUAGUAUAGCUGUUGCCUGGGUAGUGUGUCUUGUCUGGAGAAGCAAACUGAUAAUUGAUUGGCAUAACUAUGGAUAUACUAUAAUGAGUCUGAUUCAUGGAAGAAAUCACCUGCUAGUACAAAUUGCAAAAUGGUUUGUAUGGUAUGAAAAGCUUUUUGGGCGUUUGUCUGACUAUAACUUCUGCGUCACUAACGCAAUGAAAGAAGAUCUAUGGGAGAAGUGCAGUAUUAAGGCAGUAACGCUGUACGACAAGCCAGCUUCUUAUUUUAAGGAAACACCUUUGGAACUUCAACAUCGAUUGUAUAUGAAGCUUGCCAAAGUCUAUGAACCUUUUAAAGCACAGUACGUUACAGAGUCUGUCAAUUCGAGUGCUGAGAGGUCUGCCUUUACAGAAAUGGAUGAUAAAAAUGGAUGUGUGAUAAAAACCAAAGGACGGCCAGCUCUUCUAAUCAGCAGCACAAGCUGGACAGAGGAUGAAGAUUUUUCUGUCCUUUUAAAAGCUUUAGAAGAUUAUGAGCAGUAUAUCCAUGACGGAGUCAAGCUUCCAUCUUUAGUAUGUGUGAUAACAGGCAAAGGACCCCUAAAAGAGUACUACAACCAACUGAUUGAUAAAUUGCACUUCAGACAUAUCCAGAUCUGUACCCCAUGGCUUGAAGCUGAGGAUUACCCUCUUUUGCUUGGCUCAGCAGAUUUGGGUGUUUGUCUCCAUAAAUCAUCCAGUGGUUUGGAUUUACCUAUGAAGGUGGUAGAUAUGUUUGGCUGUUGUUUACCUGUAUGUGCAAUACACUUUGAAUGUUUACAUGAACUUGUGAAACACAAUGAAAAUGGUCUGAUAUUUAGGGAUUCAAAUGAACUUGCAGAACAGCUGAAGAUGCUUUUCUUGGAAUUUCCUACACUGGAGGGCAAACUUCACAAUUUCAGAAGAAAUCUUCGGGCAUCUAAGCAGCUGCGCUGGGAUGAGAGUUGGGACCAGACUGUUCUUCCUUUGCUUAGGCAGAAUGAAUGACUUUUUGUGGGGGAAGGAGCGUGUCAAAAUAUACAUUCCUGGAUUUGCAUAGAUGUUAUAAAUGUGUGCGCAACAGUAUGGAAGCACAGUCAUUGAUACGUAACAGCUUUAUUGAACACUGAGAGGAAAACGGCUCCUUUGAUGAGCAUUGUCCUUGUACACUGAAGUAAAUAUGCCCAUUUACCUUGAGAAAGAACAUAAAAUGUAUUCCUAUUUGAACAGAUGAAUAGAAGAGGAAAAAAAGAUUAUUAAAGUAUGUAUAAUCUAAUAAAAAGGCACUUCACUUUCUGAAUGCUCACUCAGGUAUAGCCUUGUUUUUUUUUAUAUAGUUAGUAUUCAUAUGCAGACCCAGUACUUAUGGGCUGCUUAUUUCAGCAUCUUUAUGAAUCUUUAUAAAAUAGAUGUCAGUCAUUUAAGGAGUAAAUGUGCUUGGUUUUAUCACAUGGUUGCUGCUUGGACAAGUAGAGAUAGGAUGAUGGUUUAGCUUUAUUCUUUUGCUAGGUUUGCUGGACUAAUUAAUAUUUUUCCCUGACAGUUAAAAUAGUUCUGUUCAUUUCUGUUACUUGAUUAAUGGCUGUUUCAGGAAACUGGGUCAGUUGCCCAAAAUUCUUGUCUGUCUUGGAGCGGCACUUUUUCUACUGCUUAUUUUGCCAUUCCCAGCUAUCUUUGUUGGAGAACAACAGUUUCUGCUGGCUUUCUACAAAUUGUGCUUUUGCAAUGUGCCUGAAGAAUUUUU